rnacentral:rRNA from 1 species
GUGUGUAUAGAGUGGCGAACGGGUGAGUAACACGUGACCAACCUGCCUCUUACAUUGGGACAACCAAAAGAAAUUCUGGCUAAUACCAAAUACUCCGCACAUAUCACAUGAUGUAUGCGGGAAAGCUUUUGCGGUAAGAGAUGGGGUCGCGGCCCAUUAGGUAGACGGCGGGGUAGAAGCCCACCGUGCCGAUGAUGGGUAGCCGGGUUGAGAGACCGACCGGCCACAUUGGGACUGAGAUACGGCCCAGACUCCUACGGGAGGCAGCAGUGGGGAAUAUUGCGCAAUGGGGGAAACCCUGACGCAGCAACGCCGCGUGCGGGAUGAAGGCCUUCGGGUUGUAAACCGCUUUCAGCAGGGAAGACAUCGACGGUACCUGCAGAAGAAGCCCCGGCUAACUACGUGCCAGCAGCCGCGGUAAUACGUAGGGGGCGAGCGUUAUCCGGAUUCAUUGGGCGUAAAGCGCGCGCAGGCGGUUGCUCAAGCGGAACCUCUAAUCUCGGGGCUUAACCUCGAGCCGGGUUCCGAACUGGACGACUCGAGUGCGGUAGAGGCAGAUGGAAUUCCCGGUGUAGCGGUGGAAUGCGCAGAUAUCGGGAAGAACACCAACGGCGAAGGCAGUCUGCUGGGCCGUCACUGACGCUGAGGCGCGAAAGCUGGGGGAGCGAACAG